rnacentral:rRNA from 1 species
GGACCAAGGAGUCUAACAGAUUGGCGAGUCAACAGAACCUCGUACUUCUUUUGGCGCAGCGAAGGCGCUAGUCGGUCGGAGAGAUCCGAUCGGCCGUUGUUUGAUCGUGAGACGAUGGAGGACAUCCGCCGCGAAUCCGUUCCGGCGGGCACACCUCUCGCAGUCUCGAGGCGGUCUCGUUCUCAUUGCGAGAGGAGCCGCACUCCGAGCCAAUAUGUUGGUACCCGAAAGAUGGUGAACUAUUCCUGAUCAGGGUGGAGUUAGGGGAAACUCUGAUGGAAGCUCGUUCACGAUUCUGACGUGCAAAUCGAUCGUCUAAGUCAGGUAUAGGGGCGAAAGACCAAUCGAACCAUCUAGUAGCUGGUUCCUUCCGAAGUUUCCCUCAGGAUAGCUAGAACUUCGUAGAGAGUUAUAUGUGGUAAAGCGAAUGAUUAGAGGUAUUGGGGCCGAAACGGCCUCAACCUAUUCUCAAACUUUCAAUAUGUGUGCACCGUUAGCUUGCGACCUGGUUGCGUUACGAAGCUAUCGGCAAAUGCGAGCACACCUAGUGGGCCAUUUUUGGUAAGCAGAACUGGCGAUGUGGGAUGAACCGAAUGUAACAGCUAGAGUGCCAAAAACGAUGUUUAUGGGAGACCACAAAAGGCGUUAGUAACUAAAGACAGCAGGACGGUGGCCAUGGAAGUAGGA